GACGAACGCUGGCGGCGUGCUUAACACAUGCAAGUCGAGCGGUAAGGCCCUUUCGGGGGUACGACGAGCGGCGAACGGGUGAGUAACACGUGGGUGACCUGCCCUCCAGCUCGGGGAGUAAGCCUGGGAAACCGGGGUCUAAUACUGGAUAUGACUCCAUGACGCAUGUUGUGGGGUGGAAAGCCUUGUGCGGCUGAGGAUGGGCCCGCGGCCUAUCAGCUUGUUGGUGGGGUGAUGGCCUACCAAGGCGACGACGGGUAGCCGGCCUGAGAGGGCGACCGGCCACACUGGGACUGAGACACGGCCCAGACUCCUACGGGAGGCAGCAGUGGGGAAGUCUUGCGCAAUGGGGCGAAAGCCUGACGCAGCGACGCCGCGUGAGGGAUGACGGCCU
rnacentral:rRNA from 1 species